AGGGAGGGAGAAUGAAUGGACCGGCAGCGGCGCCUUGGGUGGGCGGGUCUUGCUCAGUCCCUGCUCUGUCCUAAUGUGGGCGUGUUGCGGAGCUGGGGAUGAUUUAACCCAUCUCUUCAUCUGGGCUGAGCUGGUGAUGCCUUUCAGUGCUGGAGGAGGCUGUAGGUGACCUGUGAAUUGGCCUCUUCCGAAGAAACUUCCAGGAAUUGUUUGAACUUUUUCCUGCCUUGCUUGCUGACUUUGGAGUCCACCCCCGGUGUGAGAUGUAAGGCUGCUGCACGCAGUAAUUAUAAACUAAGGCAAAGUAUACUGUCGGGGCAAAGUACAAAUCAAAAGCUGCGGGGAGUCAAAGGAGGGCCAAAAUCACACUUAAUUUGGGGGUUGGGAGGUGUGUUGGGAAAUCGGAAAGGCUGCGGGAGGCGAGGACUCCGCGAGGGACUCUGACAGCCCAGGAAGGAGAGAGAGGGGACAAGCGGAGGCCGGGCGGGAGAAGGCUGCACCCAGCUGUCCUGAGCAAUGAAUCACCAGACCCGAGCUUCGGGAAGACCGACCUGGCAGGGAUGCAGAAAAGCACUCUGGAUUGAAAACAGCAGUUCAUUACUUAAGCCGAGUCGUUAGAUGAACCAGUUUUAAUCUCUACAUGGAGCAACUUGUUUUGUAAAUAAUUCAAACAUUUUAUCAUGGGUACAAUGACAAAAUGAAGAUUUAAAAAUAUGUACAUUGUUUGACAAUUAAAAAGAGAAAUUCAUACACAACAUUUGUUCAAUUUGUGAAACAUUCAAAAAUUUGACAAAGUAUAAAUAUGUAUCCUAACUAUAAUUUUAAAAGGGGGCUGGGGAUUUAGCUCAGUGGUUUUGCUGCCUGCUGCGCAAGCGCAAGGAUCUGAGUUCGAUCCCCAGUACAAAAAAAAAAAAAAAAAGAUUUCUAUAAUUUUAAAAGACAUUUUGGGAUAUUUCGAGAAAACAACUAAAGACUCCUUAUUUGGAUGGAUAUGAUGGUUAAGUUCUUUUUUCAUUUUAAAACUUAUUUGUUGACAAGCCAGUUCUGGUGGCUCAUGCCUG
ensembl:lncRNA